UGCCAGGCCGCCGCGGUAAUACGAAGGGGGCAAGCGUUGUUCAGAUUUACUGGGCGUAAAGGGCGCGUAGGCGGAUGAUCAUGUCAGAGGUGAAAGCCCCGGGCUCAACCUGGGAACUGCCUUUGAAACGGGUCGUCUUGUGGACGGGAGAGGAUGGUGGAAUACCCAGUGUAGAGGUGAAAUUCGUAGAUAUUGGGUGGAACACCGGUGGCGAAGGCGACCAUCUGGCCCGUAACUGACGCUGAGGCGCGAAAGCGUGGGGAGCAAACGGGAUUAGAUA
rnacentral:rRNA from 1 species